GAGGGUAUAGCACAGUGGUAGAAUGCCUGCUUAGCAUGCAGGAGGUCCUGGGUUCAAUCCCCAGUACCUCCA
rnacentral:tRNA from 1 species